rfam:Pseudoramibacter alactolyticus ATCC 23263 genomic scaffold SCAFFOLD2, whole genome shotgun sequence.
GAUCAAGAGAACAAGAGCAUCAGGCGGAUGCCUUGGCACCGGAAGCCGAAGAAGGACGUGCUAAGCUGCGAAAAGCCACGGGGAGGCGCUUAAAAGCCCGAGAGCCGUGGAUAUCCGAAUGGGGAAACCCGGCUGAUAGAAGAUCAGUCGCCGUUAUCUGAAAGAGAAUACUCAUAGGAUAACGGAGGGAACCCGGGGAACUGAAACAUCUAAGUACCCGGAGGAAAAGAAAGCAAACGCGAUACCUCAAGUAGCGGCGAGCGAACGAGGCACAGCCCGGUUACGAAAAAAUCAGCUUUAUAGCCGAAAGAUCUGGGAAGGUCUGGCAGAGAAGGUUAAACCCCUGUAGACGAAAUAAAGCUGGUGGGAGUAACGAAGAGUACCACGGGACACGAGAAACCCUGUGGGAAGAUGGGGGGACCACCCUCCAAGGCUAAAUACUAACCGGUGACCGAUAGCGCAAAGUACCGUGAGGGAAAGGUGAAAAGAACCCCGGAAGGGGAGUGAAAAAGAAACUGAAACCUGAUGCUUACAAGCAGUCGGAGUCCGGUACUAAAUUUUGUUUAGGCAGGACCAAUGUACUACGUAUAUCUGUUACAAACAGUUGAGAAAGACCGAACCUAUAUCGGUUAUACCAACGAAAAGCAGUCUAAGUUAGACAAAAUUUAGUACCGGAUGACGGCGUGCUUUUUGUAGAACGGGCCAACGAGUUACGGUAUGGAGCAAGGUUAAGCACUUCAGGUGCGGAGCCGCAGGGAAACCGAGUCUUAAGAGGGCGAAAGUUGCAUGCUGUAGACCCGAAACCGUGUGAUCUAUCCAUGGGCAGGGUGAAGCGCAGGUAAAACUGCGUGGAAGCCCGAACCAGUGUCUGUUGAAAAAGGCUUGGAUGACCUGUGGAUAGGGGUGAAAUUCCAAUCGAACACGGAGAUAGCUGGUUCUCCCCGAAAUAGCUUUAGGGCUAGCGUAAGCGCAAGACUGACGGAGGUAGAGCACUGACUUGGGUAGGGAGCAAACUGCUUACCGAACCAUAUCAAACUCCGAAUGCCGUCCAGUUAUCGCUUGCAGUCAGACAGUGGGAGAUAAGUUUCAUUGUCAAAAGGGAAACAGCCCAGACCAUCUGCUAAGGUCCCCAAGUACCGAUUAAGUGGGAAAGGAUGUGUCACCGCAUAAACAACCAGGAUGUUGGCUUAGAAGCAGCCACACAUUUAAAGAGUGCGUAAUAGCUCACUGGUCGAGUGGUGGUGCGCCGAAAAUGAACGGGGCUCAAAUCGGCCACCGAAGCAAUGGAUUGUACGCAAGUACAGUGGUAGGGGAGCAAUCUCUUGUAGGGCGAAGCCAUUUCGUAAGGGAUGGUGGACGAAAGAGAAGAGAGAAUGUUGGCAUGAGUAGCGAAAGUGAAGUGAGAAUCUUCACCAUCGGAAGCCCAAGGAUUCCUGAGGAAGGCUCGUCCGCUCAGGGUAAGUCGGGACCUAAGCCAAGGCCGAAAGGCGUAGGUGAUGGACAAUCGGUUGAAAUUCCGAUACUACCGCCUUAUAUUAAGAGAAGGAGUGACACAGGAGGGAAAGCAGACCCGGGCGUUGGUUGACCCGGGCCAAGCGUCAAGGCCGGCAAGGGAGGCAAAUCCCCUUUGUCAAAAAGCCAAGGCGUGAUGGGGAACGAAAAAUAAGUAGGGAAGCUGCAGACUCACACUGUCAAGAAAAACUUCUAUCGCGUAAGGAGGUACCCGUACCGCAAACCGACACAGGUAGGCAGGGAGAGAAUCCUAAGAUGAGCGGGAGAAGUGUUGUUAAGGAACUCGGCAAAAAUACUCCGUAACUUCGGGAGAAGGAGUGCCCCGGAAGGGGCCGCAGUGAAGAGGCUCAAGCGACUGUUUACCAAAAACACAGGUCUCUGCUAAAUCGCAAGAUGACGUAUAGGGGCUGACGCCUGCCCGGUGCUGGAAGGUUAAGGGGAGUGCUUAGCGCAAGCGAAGGUGCGAACUUAAGCCCCAGUAAACGGCGGCCGUAACUAUAACGGUCCUAAGGUAGCGAAAUUCCUUGUCAGGUAAGUUCUGACCCGCACGAAAGGCGUAACGAUUUGAGCACUGUCUCGACAACACACCCGGUGAAAUUGUAGUACUCGUGAAGAUGCGAGUUACCCGC